rnacentral:rRNA from 1 species
CGGACGGGUGAGUAACGCGUGGAUAACCUGCCUCACACUGGGGGAUAACAGUUAGAAAUGACUGCUAAUACCGCAUAAGCGCACAGUACCGCAUGGUACAGUGUGAAAAACUCCGGUGGUGUGAGAUGGAUCCGCGUCUGAUUAGCCAGUUGGCGGGGUAACGGCCCACCAAAACGACGAUCAGUAGCCGACCUGAGAGGGUGACCGGCCACAUUGGGACUGAGACACGGCCCAA